UCCUCUUCAGCACCUGUUGUUGCCUGAC
rnacentral:piRNA from 1 species